rnacentral:rRNA from 1 species
AUGGUGACUAAACUAAAUCGACAUCAUCAUAGAAAAAAUAGUCGCAUGUAUUCUGAAUCCCCACACCAAUACAUCAGUACAAGAGAAACAACAAUAAAAAGGGAAAUGUAUUCCCAAGUGCCCAGCCGCAAGUUUGAAAUUAGCACAAUUAUUAGUACUAUAAAAGUACAAACUUCUCCAACCACGCACGUUGAAAGGAUCUCCGAAUUUCACCAUCCUUUGUCAUUUUGA